GGCUAUUGCUUUAAACUGAGCUUGCUCAAAUUCCGUAUUACACCGACUUCCAGAGAUCCACUUGAUCAGGACAGAGUGUUCAGAUCAAUCAUUAUUGAUGCUUCUGACUUUACUGAGAUCAAGGAUCAGAGCUGGACUGCAACUUCCCCAGCUGUGCUUGCUUUGCCAGGUGCUUCAGGAUUACAUUUUCUUGAAAUCAUUUCAUA